rnacentral:misc_RNA from 1 species
GUGAAUCAUCAAAUUUUUGAACGCAAAUUGCACUCUCUGGUAUUCCGGAGAGUAUGCCUGUUUGAGGGUCAGUUUAAAUAAAAAUCGUUUUGGUUGCUGCCUUUCGUGUUAACGCACCGGAUUGGGUUCUUCUUGCCUUCGGUUAGGUGACCUAAAAUUUGGCAUGAUUUUUUUGGACGGUAUUUAAAUAAUUUUACUUACUUUUGCGAUAUCGAAUACUAGG